rnacentral:misc_RNA from 1 species
AUUUAAAGACAGUGGCAACUUGGCUCCUCCUUCAUCAACUCCUUUAAACAGUACUGCUACUUUACCACAAACUACAACAAGAACUGUAGCUGGUAAGAAGAGAAAGUGUCCAUCAGAUAUAGUUCCUGCUUCAGGCCAGAACUGCGGGGAUAGAGAGAUAAUUGAUGCUAUGGUAGAAGCUAUGGGGGAUAUGAUUGCUGCUUCAAAGUUUCAGACAGUUGUAAUGCCUCAAGUUGAUGGUAGAUUUACAAUCCGUAAAUGUAUCAAAGCUUUGGAUGAGAUAGA